UGAAAAGGGUGUUUCUGGAUUUUGAUCUUGCAAGUUCUGUAGAGGGAAAUGUAAAUGCUUGGUUUGAGAUUUGUAGGAAAAUUGCAAUGUUUUAUGAAUUGGGUUGUGAGAAAGGGAAGAUUGGUGAAUCGAUGGGAAGAAAUAAAAGCAUUUUUAUUGAUUACUCUGAAGAGGUUUUGGCUAAAAAGAUUGAUUUUUUUUGUAGACUAGACGUGAGAAAAGAAGAGAUUGGACUUUUAGUUCUAUCGAAGCCUGAGAUUUUGAGUUUUGAUUUGGAAGUUCGUAUGAUUUCGACGGUAGGAUUUUUG
rnacentral:misc_RNA from 1 species